UUGCGGGCAGGGUUGAGAAUA
rnacentral:misc_RNA from 1 species